AUUGAACGCUAGCGGGAUGCUUUACACAUGCAAGUCGAACGAGCGGCGGACGGGUGAGUAAUGUAUGGGGACUGCCCGAUAGAGGGGGAUAACUACUGGAAACGGUAGCUAAUACCGCAUACUAUAGGAUAACCCAUAUGGGAUGAGCUAGUGGGUGAGGUAAUGGCUCACCUAGGCGACGAUCCCUAGCUGGUUUGAGAGGACGACCCGCCACACGGGGACUGAGACACGGACCAGACUCCUACGGAGUCAGAAGUGGGGAAUUUUGGACAAUGGGGGAAACCCUGAUCCAGCCAUCCCGCGUGUAUGAUGAAGUCCUUCGGGUUGUAAAGUACUUUUGGCAGAGAAGCGGUAUCUGCAGAAUAAGCACCGGCUAACUACGUGCCAGCAGCCGCGGUAAUUC
rnacentral:rRNA from 1 species